rnacentral:lncRNA from 1 species
CUCUGUCUCAAAUAAUAAUAAUAAUAAUAAUAAUAAUAAUAAUAAUGAUACAGAUUAAUAAUAGGUCGAGACUUUUUAGAAUUGGAAUCUUAGACUUUUGGGAACAUCACAUCUGGAAGAGACCUUAAUGUCUCAUUUUCAGGGAUCCAGGGACCUUCAUGCAAGGUCUAUCCUGGAGUGCCUGGGUUUCUGGGAGGGGCCUCUAGAGGAUGGGGUAGGGGGUGCAAGAAGCAGGGUGCAGGUCUCCACCUUGAGGCCUGCUGAGCAGCUGCACUUGGGUCUGUUUUAUAUAUUCAGCUUCUCUUCUUAGAGUAAUACAAGGGUUCUGUUACUCCCAAAGCUGAGUGAGGGCCCUCUUUUUUGUUGUUGGUUUUUGUUUUGUUUUGUUUUGUUUGAGACAGAGUCUUGCUCUGUUGCCCAGGCUGGAGUGCAGUGGCAUGAUCUGGGCUCACUGCAACCUCCGCCUCCGGGGUUUAAGCUGUUCGCCUGCCUCAGCGUCCCAAGUAGCAGGGACUACAGGCGUGCACCACCAUGCCCGGCUAAUUUUUGUAUUUUUAGUAGAGACAGGGUUUCACCACCUUGGCCAGGCUGGUCUUGAACUCUUGACCUCAAGUGAUCCACCUGCCAAAGUGCUGGGAUUAUAGGCGUGCACCACCGUGUCCGGCCGGGCCCUGGUUUUUGUACACACGUGCAUUGCAGAGCUAGAGAAGGUCAUGACUUGCCCAAGCACAUAUAGCACAUCAGGGCAGACCCUGGGCUCGAACCCAGGCUUUCUGCCAGGACUGGGUUAGGCCCAGAGUUGGGGUGCUGCACGAUCAACAAGCUGGGGGAUGCUGGGAGUUCUGCUGAGUCUCUGGGUGGGGGCCAGCUCUCCCAGCAGCUGAGCUGGCGGGAGCAGAAGCUGGAGGAGGCCCAGGGGGUUGGCCCAGUGGCAGGUGGAGGCGCUGGAGCCAGCAGCCCGCGGGGUAUCCGGUUCCACAACUACGCGCCGCGCCCCCGCGCCCGUGUGCGGGAUUCACCCAGCUGACACUCUCCCGGUCCCAGAAGGUGCAGCAGCCGGCGGGUUUUGAGAGUCCCAGGUGCCCUGCACUGUGCAGGAGUGUGGACGCUGCCCCUCCAGGGCUGUGACCCCGCCUCAGGGCCUUUUCCCUGGCGCCCGCCAUCAGGGCUCUUGGCUUUGACAGGCGAUCCACCCUUCGGCUCCUCCCAGGAGCCAUAGGACCCUCCCUGCCUGCCCUUCACUCAAGUCGAGGGGCCUGAUCAGCAGGCUCUUUCCUCUCAGGCCCUCCACUCAGGGUGUCAACAGAGGUGGAUCAGAUGAGAAACCUGGAUUUCUACACACACCUGGCUACAAUGAGAUGGCACCACUCCCCUCCCCUGCAGAAGCAGACUCAGAAAAAGGUAGUUAAAACAGAAGGUUUCAAUAAAAUCGACAGUCUGAUAACAUAAUACCCAAAAGUCCAAGUUUCCAUUGAAAAUCAUUCAUCAUACCAAGAACCAGGAAAAUCUCAUACUGAAUGAAAAUAGGCAGCAAGCACACACUGGCAAUAAAAUGAGAGAAGCGCUGGGAUUGUCUGACAAACAUUUUAAAGCAAGCAAGCCUGAUGAAAAUGAUUUAGCGAGUAAUUAUGAGCACACUUGAAAUAAAUGGACAAGUAGAAAGUCUUAGCAAAUAAAUACAAGACUUAAGGGAGAACCAAAUGAAGUAUUAGAAGUGGAAAAAUACAACCACCAAAAUAAAAAGUCUGGCACAUAGGCUCAACAGCAGAAUGGAUGGUGCAGAGCAAGGAAAUCCAUCCACUGCCAAUGAAAAAGUAGAAAUUACACAAUCUUAGCAGGGAAAAAAUAGACUCGGGGAGAAAGUGAAUAGAACCUCAGGCACCUGUGAAACUACCUCAAAAGGUCUCACUUUCAUGUUGUCAUCUAUGUCUGGAAGGGGAAGAGGAAGAGGACAAGCCUGAAAACAUAAAGAAGUAAAUGGCUAAAAGCUUCCCAGAGUUGGCAAGAGACAUAAACCUAUAUGCUUAAGAAGCUGUGAGGACCCCAAAUAGGAUAAAACCCAAAGAGGUCUAUGGCAAGACACGUGAAAAAAUAAAAUGUUGGAAACUAAAGACAAAGAAAAUAUAUUGAAAGCAACAGAGAAAGGUGACACCUUACCUAGAAAGGAAAAACAAUUCCGACGAUGAUGGCUUUCUCAUCAGAAACCACGGAGGCAGAAAGAAGUUGUGCAGUGCUUUUCAAGCCGCAGAAGAAAAUUGUCAGCCCAGACUCCUCUCUCCAGCAGAAACAUCUUUCAGGGAUUAAGGAGAAGAUCAAAACAGUUUCAGAUUAAGAAAAGCUAAGGACAUCUCUGACCAGCAGUUCUACCCUAAAAGAAGGGCUAAGGGGAGUUCUCUAGACGGAAAGGAAAUGAUUAAAGAAGGAACCUUGGGACAUCGGAAAGAAAGAAAACAGCAAAAUAGGCCUUCCUUCUCCUCUUGAGUUUUCUAAACUAUGCUUGACGGUUUCAGAAAAAAAUCAUAGCACCAUUCAAUGUGGUUCUAACUCUCCAUAAAGAAAAUGUUUGAAAUGGUUAUAAACUGGGAGGGUAAAGAGACCUACAAGGGAGGUAACUCGUCUAUCAUUCACUCAAAUUGGUAAAACAAUGACACCAGUAUACCGUGUGGUUAAGAUAUAGAUGCACAGAUAUACGAAUGUCUGGAAAAACCAAGAGGGCUAUACAAACAGACAUACUCAAAAGCACUAUGGAUAAGGCAAAACACCAUUCUCAAAGAUGUUCAAGUCAUGACAGGAAGGUAAGAAAAAGAAAGCAUAUCCAGAAAACGAAACCAGGGAGAACAAACAGAAAAGGAAAAAUAAAAUGGCAGAUUUAAGCCCUACCAUGUCAAUAUCAUUAAAUAUCAAUGGCCUAAGUAUACCAGUUGCAAGACACAGGCUGGCAGAGUAGGUCAAUGGACACGAACCAACUACAUACUGGCUACAAAGAGACUAACUUCAAAUAUGAUGAUACAGGCAAGUUGAAAUGAAAAGGGUGGGAAAAGAUAUAUCAUGCAAACCUUAGCCAAAGGAAAGCAAGACUGGCUAUAUUAAUGCCAGAUAUAGUAUAUUUCAGAACAAAUAAACUAAUCAGAGACAGAGAGGGAGACUAUAUAAUGUGCAAAGGACCAAUCCACCAACUCCUCGCCUGACAAAUUCAUAAAUGUCUACGCAAGAACAACUGAAAGUACUUAACAGAGAACUAGACAAAUCCACAAAUACAGCUGUAUGCUUCAAUGUCCCCCUUUCUCAACAAUUUAUACAACAACCAGAUAGAAAAUCAGCAAGAAUACAGAAGAACCCAACAACACGAUCAACCAGCGGGACUUAAAUUGGCAAUUUUAGAACACCCAACCACACCAGAAUACACAUUGUUAUGGGAUGCAUUGUGCCCAGCCCCCCCAAAUUCAUAUGUUGAAAUCAGAACAUUAUUAGCCACUAGUGAUUUACUAAUUAAAACAAUGAGAAAUUGCUACGUACCUAUCAGAAUGGCCAACAUAAAAGUGUGACCACAUCAAGUGCUGUCAAGGAUUCAGAGAAAGCUGGAUCACUCAUACAUUGCUGGUGGGGAUGUAAAAGAUUACAGCCCACUCUGGAGAAUAUCUGUAUAAUUUUUACUUUUAAAACUCUAUGUGCAACUACCAUACCACCUCGGAAUUACAUUCCCUGCAUUUAUCACAGAGAAAUAGAAUCUUAUGUUCACACAAAACCCAUGUACUUCAAGUUUAUAGCAGCCUUGUUUUUAAUAGCCAAAACUGGGGAAACAAUGUAUACACGACUUUUGUGAGAUGAAUGGUUAAACUGUGGUAUAUAUCCACAGCAUCAAAUAGUCCUCAGUAAUUUUUUUUAAAAAAACAACAAAUGAUUGAUACCCACAAUAACCUGGACGAAUCUCCACAGAAUUAUGGUGAGUGGACGAAGGGUAAUCCCAAAGGUUACAUGUAGAAUUCCAUUUAAGUAACAUUCUUGAAAUGAAUAAAUUAUAAGAGUGGGGAAUAGAUUAGUAGUUGCCAGGGGUUAAGGAGGGAAGGAGGAGCAGCACUGAAUAGAAGGGGUCAUAACUAUAAAAAGGCAACAUGAUGAAUCCCGGUGUUGACGGAAAUGUUCUGUACCUUGCUUGUAUAAAUGUCAAUCUCCUGGUACUGUGGCAUUUGCAAUAUUUGCAAAUUUUAUUUAUUUAUUCAUUCAUUCAUUUUUCUGAGACGGAGUCUUCCUCUGUCGCCCAGACUGGAGUGCAGUGGCGCGAUCUUGGCUCACUGCAACCUCCGUCUCCUGGGUUCGCACCAUUCUCCUGCCUCAGCCUCCUGAGUAGCUGGGACUAGAGGUGCCCACCACCAUACCCAGCUAAUUUUUUAUAUUUUUAGUAGAGACGGGGUUUCACUGUGUUAGCCAGGAUGGUCUCGAUCUCCUGACCUCAUGAUCCACCCACUUCAGCUUCCCAAAGUGCUGGGAUUACAGGUGUGAGCCACCACGCCCGGCCACUAUUUGCAAAUAUUACCAUUUUGGAAAUAUUACCAAGAUGUUACCAUUGGAGGAAACGGAGUAAGGCGUACAAGGGACCUCUCUUUUUCUGAGUUAAGAUUGUAUGUGAAUUAUUAAAACGUAAAAAUUAACUUUAAGAAAGCUAAGUGUAUUUCUCCUUGAGUGAUCAUGCCUUUGCUUAGAAAACAUUAAGGCAACAAUAAUUUUCCAAAACCCUUUAUUUUCUUGAAGAUAGUUUUAACAAAAGCUGUGCUUAGGGGUUUUCCUAGAAGUUUAAAACUUCUACUAAUCCUUACUGUUCUUCUUUGAGAACCCUCCAGGAUUUUAUUUAUUUAUUUUACACCUUUCAAAAGCAUAGAGACAAAACCCGGCAACUGGCAUAUAAUACUGUAUUAGUCUGAGUUAUCCAGAGGACAAGAUACACACACACACACACACACACACACACACACACACACGCAUGCACGCACGCAGAGAAGCCCAAGUUCUACUCUGAGUAAGCUCUAUACCUAGGAGAGUCGAAUAUAGUUCAAGACCAAGUCCAAGGCUUAAGGCAGAAGACUGAUGUCCCAGCUCAAAGACAGUGGAGCAGAAACCUUUCUUAACCCAUCAUCUUAUUCAAGCCGUCCAUGGGUUGGAUGAGGCCCACCCACACUCGGGAGGGCAAUCUGCUUCACUCAGUUUACUGAUUCAAAUGUCAAUCUCUUCCAGAAACACCCUCAAAGACACAGUGAGAAAUAAUGUCUAACCAAAUGUCUGGGCACCCCCGACCCAGGCAAAUUGACACAAAAAUUAAUUUUCACAAAUACUAUCAAUAGAAGUGACUAAUAAAUGUGGCAUCAUGUCCUGCCUGUUUAUCCCAUGACAAUUAGUAUAGUCGAGCGUAACAUUGGCUUCCGUUCCCUUAUAGUAGCAACAUGUAGGAGUUUCAUUUAAAGUGAGGAUAAUUUUGACCUUACAGAGUUUCUCCCUACCCCUAUCUACCAUUGCCACUUGUGGAUUGUCAUUUUGCCAUGACUUUCUUUUAAAAAAUAUCAAUAAGCUCUAUACUUCAGUAAUGUAAGUUUGAAUUUCAUCCUGGCUGCAUAAGUCACUUUCCAUUUUGACAAAGUCUAGAAAUAUUUUUCUCCAUCUCCUUGAAUAUGGGUAAUGGAUACCUAUUGUGGGGCCCACUCUCAAUCUCAUGGUUUUAUUUUAAUUUAGUUCUCAAUAGAUAUGCCUCAGCUGCUUAAAAACCAUUGAAAAUGGCCCAUGGCCUUGUCCAUCUAACAGAGUCCAGUAAAAUCCUGACAAUGGAAUGGGGAGAGAGAAAGUGAGAACCACCAAACUCAGCACAAAACGACUGAGUUUAAACCUCUGUGCUAAGAGAUGAUCAGAGUCUAUCAUGGCUUCUAGUAGCAUGAGACCAUGUCUCACGAAUGACCCUAGGCUCCCAUGACAAUGCCUACCUAAGAAAGCUCAAGGCUGCCAGGGGAACUUACUUUAGUCUAGCCAAUACUUGAUGAUGGCAGUUUCAGGAUCUUUCUUUCUUAUAGCACUUACUAAGAAGGGAAUCCUUCCUCCAUCCCUUUGAUAUAUGUGUGUAUCUCCUAGGGACUUCAAUGUAUCUUUGCCCAGGAUCUGAAAGGCAAUACUUUUGAGGUGUAGUUCUCAGGAAGGACUGAGCCUCUGUCUUCCAGUCUCUGUGGGAGGUUAGAAUCCUAACUUCUAAUAUUGCCAGCUGGCAGACACAGCUGUCCUGAUGAGGCAGACAUUUAAAAUGACCAAUCUUUUGUAAUGUUUCACUUGUGCCCUGCCCCCUGCCCUCUCCCCUGCCUCUCUCUCCCAUUAGAAUGCCAUCACCUCUGCACAAAUGCGAACAGAACCAGCCCCUUCCUCUACGGUCAGUAGUUACUGAAUAAAAUUGGUUUUCAUCGAUUUGACUAAUGUCUGAUAUAUCUUUGACAAAAUAAGUGUGAAUGAUUGUUUUUAGAGACACGGCAGCUGCAAAGAGAGGCACAGACAUGGCAGGAGAGGGAGGGGUCACCUGACCCUUCUCAUUUCAUAGGCAUCUAUUCCUGCCUGGUGUUUAUGAGCCUGAGACUUGGCAGGGCUGUCCUGGUAUAUAACUCCAUGGCUCUGCAGCAAGACUCGAAUAGGCUGGUGGUGACACUUGGUGUGACCAGUCACCUUCAAAGAUGCCAUUAAGGGUUCACAAGAAAAUGAAGGGAAACAGAAAAACUGAUUAUGAAAGUUGUUGCCUCUCCUGCUUCUUCAUACAGAGUGUGUAUGAUAUUGCUGUGUGAUGUUAGACUGCAACUUAGCCCAACAGCUGUUCUAGUAAUUGGCAGUUUCUCAUCGAGUUAAGCCUACCUGAUAAAGAAGCACGCUUACAUUUAUUGAUUACCCCCGUAAAAUGAACAAUACAUCCAACAAGGCUUCUAGCAAAAAUGUUCUUAUUAACCUCCUUUUUAUACUAAGGAAAAACUGGGUACAACACAAAUCUUCAUCAACAGAAGAAUACCAACUGUUAUACAGUCAUAAAACGAUCCCAGAAGUUCACUCCAUACCAUCAAAACCAGGAACCCACACUGAUGCCCCUGAUGGCAGAAAAUCAUGAUACAAAAAUGAGAGAAACGAGAGAGAGAAAAUGUACUAGAGUCAUGGUAGUGGGUAAAAGCCAAAGAGCUCAGUUUCUACUCAUGAUAUUCAUUAGAAGAACCAAAGGAACAUGAGCCAACAGCUGUAAGGGUCCAGGUCUGCACAAGGUGCCUGUUGGGUGCAGGGUUCUGUUGGCUCCAGUGAUAUAUCUCAGGUGGGCUAAUUUUUACGGACAUAGCCGCUGCAAAAAUCUAUCAAACAAUAAUAAAGGGAUAGCUACUUGCAUGCUAAUUUACCAUUGUAUAGAAGGGAGAACAGGCAUCAGAUUGUUUUCGUCAAAUAAAAGCAAAACCAAGAUUUAUGAAGAAAAGAGGAAAGAGGAAAAAAAAUCGCCUGGGACCUUUGUGAUUUUGCUCCCCUUGGAUAAGAGACUUGACAGAAAGCUUUCAAAGAGGUCACUGUGGCCUGUCUUCUUGAGACACACGACACUUGUUCACCACGGAAAACAAUUACAGAUGUUGGAGGACUUUAAAAUAUCCUAGUUUAGCAGUUCAUCCUAUGCCACAGAAUCUGUGUGUGAUGUCCACCAUGUCCUUCUGUGGUACACCCCUUCAGUUAAGCCAGGAGGGUGCCUCUCCCCUCAGUGGAAUAUCAUACAUCAAUGUGUAGAAAGUUUGUUGUGCUGGCAAGUAAAUGACAAAAGGGACAUUGAUAGAAUUAGGAAACAAAUUGGAAUAUGAUCUGUUACCGUUCCCAUGGAAGAUAAAUUUGCAGAAUAUACUCAAAUUAGAAGCAUUAAAUAAAUGCUGUAAUUUAAAAUGGCACAUCCCAUUCUCUACACUACAGAAAUAUCUGCAGGAGUGACCAAAGAUAUGUGUACAACUAUGGUAGAGAUUGCAGCAUCAGUUAUAAUCCUAAAACCAUGAAACCCACCUUAUUUCAAAAACAUCUUGAAAAGGGUUAAAUAAAUCACGCACAAACUGAGGAAGAAAUGCUGUUUUCACAAACAAUGGUGAGGCUCACCAUGAGGAUGACUGAUUCCACACUGUUCACAUUUGAUAGAGCAAUCAGUUCACCUCCUGAGUUCAAGCGCUCCUCCUACCUCAGCCUUUCAAAGAGCUGGAACUACAGGCGGGUGUCAACACGUUCGGAUAACUUUUGCAUUUUUUUGGUAGAGAUGGGGUUUCGCCAUGUUGGCCAGGCUGGUCUUGAACCCCUGGGCUCAAGCAAUCCGCCCACCCCAGCCUCCCAAAGUGCUGGAAUCACAGGUGUGAGCCACUAUGCCCAGCCAGAUUUUAUUUUUCUCUGAAAAGAUGGUACAUUUACAUGGUUCAAAAUUCAGAUAGGGCCAGGCGUGAGCCCUGGAGUUCGAGACCAGCCUGGGCAAAAGAGAGCCCUGUCUCUACUUUAAAAAAAAAAAAAAAAAAAAAAAUUCAAAUAGUACAGAAAAUUAUAAAGUUAAAAUAGGCAUCUCUUAUAUUCCUGUCUCCCAAUCUCACCCUGUAGGCAAUCUGUGGGAUGCUGUUCCCGUGACUCCUUCCAGGGAUAUUUUAGAUCAAGUCUUCCUCUUGUCGCCCAGGCUGGAGUGCAAUGGCAUGAUCUUGGCUUACUGCAACCUCCACCUCUCAAGUUCAAGUAAUUCUCCUGCCUCAGCCUCCCAGAUAGCUAUGAUUACAGGUGCCCACCAUCAUGCCUGGCUAAUUUUUGUAUUUUUAGUAGAGAUGGGGUUUCACCAUGUUGGCCAGACUGGUCUAGAACUCCUGACCUCAGGUCAUCUGCCUGCCUCAGCCUCCCAAAGUGCUGGGAUUACAGGUGUGACCUCCAUACUCGGCCUUUUUAUUUAUUUAUUUUUUGAGAUGGAAUCUUGCUCUGUCACCCUUGCGGGAGUGCAGUGGCACAAUCUCAGCUCACUGCAACCUCAGCCUCCCAAGUUCAAGCGAUUCUCCUGCCUCAGCCUCUCUAGUAGCUAGGACUACAGGCGUGUGCCACCACACCCGGCCUCCCUUCCCAUUUUUUUAAUGCCAAAGAGAACAUAUUAUAUAUACACUUUGUUCUGUACCUUGCUACCUGUCCUUGAUAGUUUGGGGACCAUCCCUUAUCCCUUAUCAAUAUAUAAAGAGCUUCUUUUUCAUUGUUUUCCCCAGAGAUCUAGUAUUCCACCAGAUAUGCCUAAAUUUAUAUAAUCCAUCCCUUACUGAUGGGCCUUGUAGCAGGUAGACAUAGUGGGUGAACUGUGUCUCCCAAAAAAGUAUGUUCAAGUCCUAACCCCCGACACCUGUGAAUGUGAUCUUAUUUGGAAAUAGGGCAUUUGCAGAUAAUAUCCUCCUGGAUUUAGGGUGGGGCCUAAAUCCAAUGAUGGGCAUCCUAAUAAGGAAAGGAGAGGACACACAUGGAAACACAGGGAGGAGGCAGAGAUUGGCGUGAUGCUGCCACACACCAAGGAAUGCUCGGGGCCACCAGAAGCCUGAAGUGGCAAGGAUUCUGGCCUAGACCCUCUGGAAGGAGCAUGGCCCUACUGGCAUCUUGAUUUCAGAUGUCCAGCCUCUAGAACUGGGAGAGAAUAAAUACAUUCAGGUGGUUUAAAGCACCCAGUGUGUGGUCACUUGUUACAGCAGCCCUAGCAAGCUAAUACACAGGUAGACUUGUUUUGAGACGAAGUCUUGCUUUGUUGCCAGGCUGGAGUGCAGUGGCACAAUCUCGGCUCACUGCAACCUCUGCCUCCUGGGUUCAAGUGAUUCUCCUGCCUCAGCCCCCCGAGUAGCUGGGACUACAGGCGCAUUCCACCACGCCCAGCUAAUUUUUAGAAGAGGCGGGGUUUCACCUUGUUGGCCCGGAUGGUCUUCAUCUGUUGGCCUCGUGAUCGGCCCACCUCAGCCUCUCAGAGUGCUGGGAUUACAGGCGUGAGCCACUGCACCCCGGCCAGGUAGACUUCUAAGAUGGCUCUCAAUGAUCCUUGCCUCCUGGUAUCCACACCCUCCACUUAGUGCGGACAGGACUUGUGACUUCUACUCUGAAGACCCAGCCAAGGGAUGGGAUCAUUUCUGGAAUUAAAACUAUGACUGCUAUCUUGCCACAAUCACGUUUGCUGGCUUCAAUGAAGCAACUGCAAAGAUGUGAACUAUGCAGAGGCCUACGUGGAAAGAAAAUGAGAGUGACCUCUGUCCAACAGCCACGAGGAACAGAAUCAUGCCCAAAACCACGUGAGCGAGCUUGGAAGCAAACGCUUUCCCUGCUGGGCCUUAAGAUGACAGUGCGGCCUCGACUGACACCUUGACUGCAGCCUGUGAGAGGCCUGUGACCCAGCUGAGCUGCACCAGAUUCCUGACCACAGAAGCGGAGAUGACAAAUGCAGGUCAUUUUGGGCGGGUGUGGUGGCUCAUGCCUGUAAUCCCAGCACUUUGGGAGGCUGAGGUAGGCGGAUCACCUGAGGUCAGGAGUUUGAGACCAGCCUGGCCAACAGGAUGAAACCUUGUCUCUACUAAAAAUACAAAAAUUAGCCAGGCAUGGUGGCGGAAGCCUGUAAUCCCAGCUACUUGGGAGGCUGAGGCAGGAGAAUCGCUUAAACCUGGGAGGUGGAGGUUGCAGUGAGCUAAGAUUGCACCAUUGCACUCUAGCCUGGGCAACAAGAGUGAAAAUCUGUCUCAAAAAAAAAUAAAAAUACAAAUAAAUAAAGUACCUACUUACAGGCUUUGUAUGGUUGGCUAAAAAAAAAAAAAAAAAAAAAAGAAAAAAAAAAAAAAACAGUAUCUGUCUACAUUCAAGCUGCGGUGAGGAAAAAUUGGUCUUUUCCCUACUCCAGUCCACUCAGUCCACAGAGCAUGGUAUCUUUCUCACUCCCAGCUCAUAGAAAUCGACAACUAUUAAGCACCUACUGUGUGCCCAUGAUGCAUUUCAGUAGCUUUCAAUCACCAAUGGAAUAAAGCCCCACCCUUCGCCUGUCAUUCCUACUUGCCACGGCUUUCGUAAGCCAUGUGGAGGGAAUGGGACUUUUCAUAUAUUAAGGGGGUCUUAUGUGCCAGGCUUUGCAGGGAGCACUGCUCCAAAGAAGUAGCCACCCUGACUAAAAGCAUGGAUGCUGGAGCCAGACUGCCUGGGUUCAAAUCCCAGCUCUGCCACUUACCAACCAUGUGACUUUGAACAAAUUAUAUAAUUUCUCUGCAUUUCUCAUUUUCGAAACAGGGAUGAGUACUGCUAUAAACAUUUGUGUCCACCCCCACCUCCAAAUUCAUACUGAAACCUAACCCCUAGUAUGAUGGUAUUUGGAGGUGAGUUCUUUGGAAGGUAAUUAUGUCAUAAGCGUAGAGCCCUCACAAACAGUAUUGCCCUUAUAAGGAAGCCCCAGCCAGGUGUGGUGGCUCACGCCUAUAAUCCCAGCACUUUGGGAGGCUGAGGCAGGUGGAUCAUGAGGUCAGGAGUUUGAGACCAGCCUGGCCAAUAAGGCAAAACACCAUCUUGACUAAAAAUACAAAAAUUAGCUGGGCGUGGUGGCAUGUGCCUGUAGUCCCAGCUACUUGGGAGGCUAAGGCAGGAGAAUUGCUUGAACCCAACAGGCAGAGGUUAUAGUGAGCCAAGAUCACACUCCAGCCUGGGCAAUAAGAGCAAAACUAUCUUUAAAAAAAAAAAAGGCAGUGCCAUUCCCAUGUGGUGGCUCAUGCCUUUAAGCCCAGCACUUUGGGCGGCCAAAGCAGGAGGAUCACUUGAGGCCAGGAGUUUGAGAUCAGCCUGGUCAAUAUAGCAAGACUCCAUCUCUUAAAAAAAAAAAAAAAAAAAAAAAAAAGUCCCCAGAGUACUCUAUUGCCCCUUCUACCAUGUGAGGUUACAGCAAAAAGACGGCCUCACCAGACACCGAAUCUGCUGGUGCCUUGGACUUCCCAGCCUCCAGAACUGUGAGCAAAAAAUUUCUUUUGUUUAUAAACUACCCAGGCUAUGUUAUUCUGUCAUAGUCCCAAAUAGACUAAAACAAGUACUUACUGGCCAGGUGCGGUGGCUCACACUUGUAAUCCCAGCAUUUUAGGAGGCCAAGGCAGGCUGAUCACUUGAGGUCAGGAAUUUGAGACCAGCCUGGCCAACAUGAUGAAACCCCGUCUCUACUAAAAAUCAAAAAAAUUAGCCGGAAGUACUGGCACACGUCUGUAAUCACAACUACUCGGAGGCUGAGGCAGAAGAACUGCUUGAACGCAGGAGGCAGAGGUUGCAGUGAGCUGAGAUCAUGCCACUGCAUUCCAGCCUGGGCCACAGAGCGAGACUGUCUCAAAACACAAAAAAAACAAGUCCUUACCUCAUGGGGUUGUAGAGAUGAUGCAAUGAGUUUUAUAAGUGCAUAGAAUAGUGCCUAGCAGAGAGUUAAGCAUUACUUUAGCAAUAAACAAUAAGCAUUACUUAAAGGCAACAGGAAGGCCCAAAGGAGCAUCAUAAGGGACCUCCCAAGGCCCUACAGCUAUUAAGUCUAUCCAGAUUCUCUCUUUUCCACACUGAUUCCCACCUCAAACACACUUUGCUAACCUUUGUGUUGGUUAUCUAUUGCUGCAUAACCUUACCAGAAACUUAGCGACUUAACACAAUACAUUUACCAUCUGUUCCUAUGGGACAGUCUGGGCACAGCUUAGCUGGUCCUCUGCAAGGCUGCAGUCAGUGUUGGUCAGGCCUGGGGUCUCACCUGAAGGCUUACCUGGGAGUGAUCAGCCUCCAAGCUUGUGUGGUUGCUGGCAGCAUUUGCUUUCUUGCAGACUGCUGGACUGAGCUUCAGUUUCUUGUUGGCUGUCAGAGGCUACCUCAGUUCCUAGCCACCUGACCCUCUCCCAAGGGCAGCUCACACAACAUGACAGCUUCCUUCUUCAAAGCCAGCAAGAGAAUUUCUCAGCAAGGCAGAUGUUGCAGUCUUACAUAAGGCAACCAUGAAAAUAACAUCUUGUCACCUUUGUGGCACUCUACUGGUUAGCAGUCACAGGUCUAGGCCAUCUCAAGGGGCAGGGAGUACAUAAGGCUGUGAACAGCAGGUGGGGAUCACAGUGACCACCUGGGAGUCUAUCUGCCACACCUCCCAGUGCAUCCAAAUUCUGUUGUGCAGAGGGCAAGUGAGGUCUAGCAUACCCCCCAAGAAAGCAGCCAUCUUCUACCAUCCACCCACCAGUUUGUAAACUCCAGUCAGGGGUGUAAUUGAAGUGAUGCCUGGUUUGGGAUUGAGUUUUCCUGGAGAUUCUGGUCCUGUAAUGAGUUUUUUCCAGCUGGGAUUCCAGUUAGUGAUGGACAGCAUCAAGCUGUCCCUUGCUCCUGGCCCCAGACCCCACAAGGUGCUUUUCAGGCUAGAUUCCUGAGGGCUGUGUCAUCAGCUGUGCCACCUCCUCCUCCCUACCAUGAUGAACUGUUCUGGGUACUUACCUGACUCCAGAGAAAGGUCAUUAAGGUCAAACAAUGCAAUGUGCAUCUGCUAGUGCCUCAUCCGAGUGACGCUCAGGUGAAGGAACAGCCUGUGGCCACACGUCUAACCAGGGGAUAGCCUAGAUCCUAAGGCCAGGUCUGUCUCCACAAUCCAAGUGCUGAUCUUCAAUGGUACAUACUUUUUUUUUUUUUCCUUUUGAGACAGUCUUGCUCUGUUGCCCAGGCUAGAGUACAGUGGCAUGAUCUCAGCUCACUGCAACCUCCACUUCCUGGAGGCAAUUCUCAUGCCUCAGCUUCUCAAGUAGCUGGGAUUACAGGCGUGCGCCACCAUGCCUGGCUAAUUGUUGUAUUUUUAGUAGACGGGGUUUCACCAUGUUCGCCAGGCUGGUCUCGAACUCCUAACCUCAAGUAAGCCACCCACUUCGGCCUCCCAAAGUGCUGGGAUUGUGGGCAUGAGCCACCACACCCAGCCAUGGUACACACUUCUAAUAAAGCUUCCUCUACAUCUAAGCUUUCUGAUUUCCACCCUCCAAGUACUUAAAACUGACUCGAUGUGAAGUAAUGCUAUGUGAAAUCGACAUAAAAAAGUUACUGCUCCCGAAGAUCCUUUAAUGCAAUCUCCUUACCCUUAAUUCAAUGGGCAAGAGAAUCUUCAAUUUUCAUUUUCUUUCUCCUCUCUACAGUUUCUUAAUCAGAGUGGCUAUUUCCAUAACAAUAAAAACUGCUUCUUACAGAAUCCUCAGGCAAAAGAAGUGUUGUGGCUUUUUUUCAUUUUUAAUUCUUUUAGAGAAUUCUCUAGGGUCUCACUGCUGCCUAGACUGGAGUGCGAGGCCGUGAUCAUAGCUCACUGCAGCCUCAAACUCCUGGGCUCAAGCAAUUCUCCCACCUCAGCCUCGCAAGUAGUUAGGAUUCCAAGCAUGCACCACCACCACACUAAUUUUUUUUUUUU